GGGCCCGCACAAGCGGUGGAGCAUGUGGUUUAAUUCGAUGAUACGCGAGGAACCUUACCAGGGCUUAAAUGCAGUUGGACAGGUCUGGAAACAGACCCUUCUUCGGACUAAUUGCAAGGUGCUGCAUGGUUGUCGUCAGCUCGUGCCGUGGGGUGUCAGGUUAAGUCCUAUAACGAGCGCAACCCCUGUGGUUAGUUGCCAGCGAGUCAUGUCGGGAACUCUAGCCAGACUGCCGGUGCAAACCGUGAGGAAGGUGGGGAUGACGUCAAAUCAUCACGGCCCUUACGUCCUGGGCCACACACGUGCUACAAUGGUAGGGACAGAGGGCAGCUACCCCGCGAGGGGAUGCGAAUCUUCAAACCCCAUCUCAGUUCGGAUCGGAGUCUGCAACUCGACUCCGUGAAGUUGGAAUCGCUAGUAAUCG
rnacentral:rRNA from 1 species